rnacentral:rRNA from 1 species
GACGAACGCUGGCGGCGUGCUUAAUACAUGCAAGUCGAGCGAGGUUACUGUUUCGGAUCCCUUCGGGGUGAAGAAGCUUUAACCUAGCGGCGGACGGGUGAGUAACGCGUGGGUAACCUACCCCAAAGUCCGGGAUAACAGCGGGAAACCGCUGCUAAUACCGGAUGCCUUUACCUUGGGGCAUCUUGAGGUAAAGAAAGGUAACGCUUUGGGAUGGGCCCGCGUCCCAUUAGCUAGUUGGUGAGGUAACGGCUCACCAAGGCGACGAUGGGUAGCCGGCCUGAGAGGGUGGACGGCCACACUGGGACUGAGACACGGCCCAGACUCCUACGGGAGGCAGCAGUAGGGAAUAUUGCGCAAUGGACGGAAGUCUGACGCAGCGACGCCGCGUGAGCGAUGAAGGUCUUCGGAUCGUAAAGCUCUGUCCUUGGGGAAGAAGGUCUUCGGACUUGACGGUACCAAGAAGAAAGCCCCGGCUAACUACGUGCCAGCAGCCGCGGUAAGCUACGUAGA